UCCCUCUCAGGAUUGCACUUGGAGAGUUUUUAGUACUCUACUAGUCUCAGCUACAGGAGGGAAAGUCAAGCAGAGGCCUACCCAUUCCAUUCAUAGCUUGGGCAGUGGCUAGCGAGUGGAAGACAAUCUGCUAUAAGU